rnacentral:sRNA from 1 species
AAAGUGGAGUCCCCAGACCAGCAACAUCAACAUGAUCUAGUAACUUGUUAGAAAUGGACAUUUUUGUGCCUUCUUUUUUUGGACACAUUUGUGUCCAAACCUACUGAAUCAGAAACCUUGGGGUUAGGGUCCAGUAAUAUGUAGUUUAACAAGCCCUCCAGCUUUUCCAAUUUGGGAAAUACCUGCUAUAUGAAUGCUAUUCUACAAUCUCUAUUUUCACUCCAGUCAUUUGCAAAUGACUUGCUUAAACAAGGUAUCCCAUGGAAGAAAAUUCCACUCAACGCACUUAUCAGACGCUUUGCACACUUGCUUGUUAAAAAAGAUAUCUGUAAUUCAGAGACCAAAAAGGAUUUACUCAAGAAGGUUAAAAAUGCCAUUUCAGCUACAGCAGAGAGAUUCUCUGGUUAUAUGCAGAAUGAUGCUCAUGAAUUUUUAAGUCAGUGUUUGGACCAGCUGAAAGAAGAUAUGGAAAAAUUAAAUAAAACUUGGAAGACUGAACCUGUUUCUGGAGAAGAAAAUUCACCAGAUACUUCAGCUACCAGAGUAUACACUUGCCCUGUUAUUACUAAUUUGGAGUUUGAGGUUCAGCACUC